AACGAACGCUGGCGGCAGGCUUAACACAUGCAAGUCGAACGGGCGUAGCAAUACGUCAGUGGCAGACGGGUGAGUAACGCGUGGGAACAUACCCUUUGGUUCGGAAUAACUCAGGGAAACUUGAGCUAAUACCGGAUAAGUCGGAGAGGAGAAAGAUUUAUCGCCGAAGGAAUGGCCCGCGUCUGAUUAGCUAGUUGGUGAGGUAACGGCUCACCAAGGCGACGAUCAGUAGCUGGUCUGAGAGGAUGAUCAGCCACACUGGGACUGAGACACGGCCCAGACUCCUACGGGAGGCAGCAGUGGGGAAUAUUGGACAAUGGGGGCAACCCUGAUCCAGCCAUGCCGCGUGAGUGAUGAAGGCCUUAGGGUUGUAAAGCUCUUUUGUCCGGGAAGAUAAUGACUGUACCGGAAGAAUAAGCCCCGGCUAACUUCGUGCCAGCCGCCGCAGUAA
rnacentral:rRNA from 1 species